AGGGGUAUGGAAAAUACGCGAUUCUUUAGAAGCUGUUUGCACCAAUCUGCACCUUUCCCUGUGAAACAGUUUGUUACAUGGCUCAUUUGGGGCAUCCUGGUUUUGCUCAGCGUUACUGACCUUUCUUCUUUCCACACCAACGUCAAUGACAAAUGUUACGUUCUUAAUCCGAACCAAAGAUCCUCCAGAGCUUGUGAUUUAAUCGUAUCCGAACCAACCUCCAGGGGAAGACAGAUGUGCAUCAGUGUAGUAUGGGAACGCUGAGGAUGAGAAGUUAUUAAAUGGCCCCUAAACUUUAUGCAUAUGCAACAUGGAGGAUGGAUCCACGUUCAUGAUUUAGGUCUAAAGAGAGGGUUUGUUUGCUAAAAAAUGGUCUUGUGUGCAGGGCUGGGAGUUCUGUAGCAGAUACUCCAGUGCCCCACUGGUGUCCCCUUUCCAGCUAGACCCAAAGCUGUGGAUGUGGCCGUGUCCCCAGGGGUGGCUGCCUCUGGGCACAGCGCUUGGGUCGCAUGCCAGGAAGAUGACGAUGUCACCCUUCUCCUUCGUAUGGUGUAGCUCAAAGAGCAGCCUCAGUGCAGACAGAAAAUGGUCCUUUGGCAUGCUGCAGGUGUACACCACCUCUGCCUGGUGCUCAUUUUCCACCCGGAUGAGGGGGACGCUGCCACAGAAGUCCUGCAGCUUGCUGGACAUGUGGGGGGCAGUGAGUAUCACCAGCCUGAGGGCUGGUCUCGCUCUCAAGACAUGUUUAAGAACACCAAGCAGCACAUCAGUGGGAACAGUUCUUUCAUGCACAUCAUCCAGAAUGAUAACUCCAUAAGAGUUCAGAAGAGGAGCAGACAUCAUUUCCCUCUGCAGCAUAUCAUCUGUGCAGUAUCUGUGCCAUACAAAUGGAAAACUGUGAAAAGUUUCAGGGAAUAUUCAGGUUUGACUGCAUAAAAUUAAUUCAGGGUCU
rnacentral:lncRNA from 7 species